rnacentral:tmRNA from 1 species
GGGGGCGUAAUGGUUUCGACGGGGACAUUGAAGCAUGAGUAGCGAGUAGUGGACCAGGGCCACUAUAAAACUUGGAUUUUAAAAAUAAACGCUAACAAUAAUUUAGCUUACGCUGCCUAAUUAAAGGUAGCCGUUCAACCCGGGAGUACCGCGGCCCGGGAUUGGGCGUCGACCAGCGGUGAACGUGACAUAGCUAAGCUUUGCGCUAUGCAUGACAAAUGAAGCUACUGAAGCUGUAAGCCUGUGGGUGGGCGUGCAGCGGAGGGAAUGUUAAAACACCCACUGCACUCGGAGAAGCUCAUGUGGAUGUGUUUUCGGACAGGGGUUCGAUUCCCCUCGCCUCCACCA